rnacentral:rRNA from 1 species
AUAAGUAGGGUGCGAGCGUUGUCCGGAAUUACUGGGCGUAAAGAGCUCGUAGGUGGUUUGUCGCGUCGUCUGUGAAAUUCCGGGGCUUAACUCCGGGCGUGCAGGCGAUACGGCCAUAACUUGAGCACUGUAGGGGAGACUGGAAUUCCUGGUGUAGCGGUGACAUGCGCAGAUGACAGGAGGAACACCGGUGGCGUAGGCGGAGCUCUGGCCAGUAACUGACGCUGGGGAGCGAAAGUCAGUGUUGAUAAACGAAAUAGAUACCCUGGUAAUCCAUGCCGUAAACGGUGGGUGCAAGGUUUAGGUGACAUCCACGUCUUCAGUUCCGUAGCUAACGCAUUAAGCGCCCCGCCUGGGGAGUACGGCCGCAAGGCUAGAACUCAAAGGAAUUGACGGGG